UGGGGCAUAUUUCACAAUGGGCGCAAGCCUGAUCCAGCCAUGCCGCGUGUAUGAAGAAGGCCUUCGGGUUGUAAAGUACUUUCAGCGGGGAGGAAGGGAGUAAAGUUAAUCCCUUUGCUCAUUGACGUUACCCGCAGAAGAAGCACCGGCUAACUCCGUGCCAGCAGCCGCGGUAAUACGGAGGGUGCAAGCGUUAAUCGGAAUUACUGGGCGUAAAGCGCACGCAGGCGGUUUGUUAAGUCAGAUGUGAAAUCCCCGGGCUCAACCUGGGAACUGCAUCUGAUACUGGCAAGCUUGAGUCUCGUAGAGGGGGGUAGAAUUCCAGGUGUAGCGGUGAAAUGCGUAGAGAUCUGGAGGAAUACCGGUGGCGAAGGCGGCCCCCUGGACGAAGACUGACGCUCAGGUGCGAAAGCGUGGGGAGCAAACAGG
rnacentral:rRNA from 1 species